UGAACCAGGAUGUGAACUGCAAGAUGUGGUAUUUCAUUUGAUUUGAGCUGCUUCUUAAGUUUUGCCUCCACUCUGCAGCUUCUACAGAUCUUUAAGCUCUUGAGCUCAGGAGCAAGGCUAAAAUUCAGGAGCUACACAAACCAUCCUCACCCAGAACCACUUAGAACCACUGAGGAGCACCUAGGAUACUCAUUUCAAGACGGGAGCGCUUCAAUGCUUUAAAAAUACAUAUGUAAAUACACAAAAUACUUAUGAGUGUGUGUAUAUGUGUGUAUGUGUAGUUUAAGCUUGCAACUGGAGAAAAACAAAUGUUUUUAAGUUGAAUAGCCAUUUAAAUACUGGUUGUUGGGUACAUUGAUCAUUACAUGACACAGCGCUUGUUCAUGUAUUCAUUCAACAUUCGGUCAACAAAUACUAAUUCAGGGCUCAGCGUGUGCCUUGCAUUAUGUUAAGUGCUGGGAAUCAGAAGUAAACAAAGUUCCUACUUUCAUGGGAUUUACAUUUUGGUUUUAUCACCACGUGGAGGCCAGCUGAACCUGAAUUGGCUGUCCUCUGGAGGUCACAUCUAGGCUUUAUGCAGAAUGCCUGAGCUCACUGAUCACAGCUUUCUGGCUGUGAUCCUUUUAGCCUCAUGUGACUAAGGAGUCUUUAUUGAUUUGGAAAGUGCUUCACAUCCAAAAAUGUUUGGAUUUCGGGGGUUGGGAGGUGAGGAAGCAUGAAAACAAAGCAUGGAAUUUUUCUAGUUCUUGACUUGAAUUCAU
rnacentral:lncRNA from 10 species